rnacentral:rRNA from 1 species
AGUGAACGCUGGCGGUAGGCCUAACGCAUGCAAGUCGAACGGCAGCACAGUAAGAGCUUGCUCUUACGGGUGGCGAGUGGCGGACGGGUGAGGAAUACAUCGGAAUCUACUUUUUCGUGGGGGAUAACGUAGGGAAACUUACGCUAAUACCGCAUACGACCUACGGGUGAAAGCAGGGGAUCUUCGGACCUUGCGCGAUUGAAUGGGCCGAUGUCGGAUUAGCUAGUUGGCGGGGUAAAGGCCCACCAAGGCGACGAUCCGUAGCUGGUCUGAGAGGAUGAUCAGCCACACUGGAACUGAGACACGGUCCAGACUCCUACGGGAGGCAGCAGUGGGGAAUAUUGGACAAUGGGCGCAAGCCUGAUCCAGCCAUACCGCGUGGGUGAAGAAGGCCUUCGGGUUGUAAAGCCCUUUUGUUGGGAAAGAAAAGCAGCAGGUUAAUACCCCGCUGUUCUGACGGUACCCAAAGAAUAAGCACCGGCUAACUUCGUG